AACCGGACCCUUUCUCACCCCGGUCUACAAAACCAUAUUAGGAAGGUGAAGCCGGUCGUCUUCAACGAACUCUGCCGCUUGGUUGCCGAGAGCGUUGAGGAGGGUACGAAGGGCGUCUCUGUUUUCAGAUUUUUCUCCAGACAUCAAAUAUGCUCUUCUUCUCGUAUUUCAAGGAGCUGGUGGGGAAGGAAGUGACCGUAGAGCUGAAGAACGACCUUGCCAUACGAGGCAUCCUCCAUUCCGUGGAUCAAUACCUCAAUAUAAAGCUCGAGAACACUAGGGUUGUCGAUCAAGAUAAGUACCCCCACAUGUUAUCGGUAAGAAACUGUUUUAUCAGAGGAUCUGUAGUGAGAUAUGUUCAGCUUCCUCCUGAUGGAGUGGAUAUUGAUAUUCUUCAUGAUGCCACAAGGAGAGAAGCCCGUGGUAGUUGAUAGUGUAGGCAGACUUGCCUGUUAUAUUCAUGGCUCUUCACUAAUGGCAUGACAAAAUUGUGUACUGAAGAAAAUGUUGACUCCACUUAAUGUUUCUAUUUAAGUUAUUUGAUGCUUGUUAUGAAUUCUUGCACCAAGAUACCUAUGAUAUUUUUAAACAUCGAUGUUUUUCUUGCAUUGUUCUUGGUCCUUGGGAUUGCAGACAUAAAUUUGAAGUCCUCAAUACCUAAAAUACUCUAUUGUCACUA